GCCAGACUCCUACGGGAGGCAGCAGUGGGGAAUAUUGCGCAAUGGGGGAAACCCUGAUGCAGCGACGCCGCGUGAGUGAAGAAGUAUCUCGGUACGUAAAGCUCUCUCAGCAGGGAAGAAAAUGACGGUACCUGACUAAGAAGCCCCGGCUAACUACGUGCCAGCAGCCGCGGUAAUACGUAGGGGGCAAGCGUUAUCCGGAUUUACUGGGUGUAAAGGGAGCGUAGACGGCAGCACAAGUCUGGAGUGAAAGCCCGGGGCUUAACCCCGGAACUGCUUUGGAAACUGUGCGGCUGGAGUGCAGGAGGGGUAAGCGGAAUUCCUAGUGUAGCGGUGAAAUGCGUAGAUAUUAGGAGGAACACCGGUGGCGAAGGCGGCUCACUGGACUGUAACUGACGUUGAGGCUCGAAAGCGUGGGGAGCAAACAGGAUUAGAUACCCCCGUAC
rnacentral:rRNA from 1 species